rnacentral:lncRNA from 1 species
AGGCAGCAUAUGUCACUGUUUUUUUGUUUGUUUGUUUUGUUUUUCUACCAGGGAUCAAGCUCAAAUCAGAACCUUGAGCUUGCAAGGCAGGCAGCAGCACCAUUGAGCUAAAUCCUUGUCCCAUGCCACUCACUGUUCAGAGAACUUCACCUCUAUAUAUUUAAUCCUGCCCAAUAACCCAGGACAGAUUAGUCUUAAUCUCCCCAUUCCACACACGGAAAAGAAAAACAAAACAAAAAAACAAAGGGAAGCUGCCAACCUCACUCAGCCAAUCGGGGAAUGCACCUUUUUCACUGAUGUUUUUAAUUCCUUAACUGCAGCCACAGGGACUAGGCAGAGCCAGGACUGUUUCAGAGCAUGUCCCCUCUGGCUGCUGGCUGUCACAUGUUAUCUAAGCACUGGCCACAUACCCGCAGGCAGUUAUGGAUACCUGACCUGCUGAGUUAGCAAGUCAGUGACCCUGGAGCCUUUGUCCUACUGAACAAUACUGAGUAUGACCCCUUCCUUCCAGGUAAGUCACUGAGGAGAUCUCACUAUCCACACUUCACAGGUGGCAGAAAAUAAAUGAAACUUCAGUCACUUGUCGAGGUCAACAUUAGCAUGAAGCAGCAGUCAGUGGUGACCACUGCUCUACAACCCCAACUACUGGAUGAGCAGCUACUCCUCUCGGGGCUUUAACAGGCAGCCAGUCACUUCUCAAAAAGCCCAUUCCCUGGUCCUCUUUAGACUGGAAGCCACAGCAAGUUUGCAACGCUUUCAUCUUCUCCCCAGCAAUGCUCCAUCAGUAAUGGGUCUGACUGUAUGGACCCAGAGAGGAAAAGGGCCUGUCCAAGGUCACCAAGCCAGAAAGGGACUGGAGCCCAGGACUGCGGAUACCUAGUUCAGGGCUCUGCCCACAACAUUGUUUGGACUCUUCUGCUAAUGAAAAGAGGGGUCACAGUCAAGACAAACAGUAAUGAUGCCUAGUACCAAGCUAGGUACUAGACAUAAAUGGAUCAAUUAAAACCCAUAAUGACCUCUCACCUCAAUUGUGGAUGAGAAUGAAGUCUUUGGGAAGCACAGAAUCAAGCUCUCACACCCAAUACACAGCAUGUGGAAACACCAACCAGAUCUCAUCCACAUGUCAAUCAAGGAAAUUC